AAAUUAUCUCCAGUAUUAACUGUGCUGC
rnacentral:miRNA from 1 species